GACAAACGCUGGCGGCGUGCCUAAAACAUGCAAGUCGAACGAGAAAGGGCUUCGGCCCCGGUACAGUGGCGCACGGGUGAGUAACACGUGGAUAAUCUUCCCUCGGGCGGGGGAUAACAUUCCGAAAGGAGUGCUAAUACCGCAUAAGACCACGUUCUCGAAAGGGAACGAGGUAAAAGCCGGCCUCUAUAUAUAAGCUGGCACCUGAGGAUGAGUCCG
rnacentral:rRNA from 1 species